GGAGCGGCUGUCGGCGCGGCGGCGGCGGGCAGGCGUGAGCCGGGAGCCCGGCGCUGGAGCGGGCGGAGCGCGGCGCGGGGACGAGGUGCAGCCGGGCCCGUGGCACCACCAGCCCGGGUCGACAGACAGGUGUGCCGGCGCCGCAGCUCCAGCAGCUUCAGGCCCGGCCCAGGGUCCGGAGCCGGCAGCCACUAAGCAGAGCGGGAAUCCCGCGCCCUCGGUCCAGUUCCGGCCCCGCCCGCACUCAGCUUGGCCGCGGGGUGCGGAGACCACGGCCCGGCCAGGCCACCCGAAGCCUAGUGCUGGGCCGGGCCGGGCCAGGGUGGGUGGGGGCCCGCCCGGCCCGCCCAUGGGCUCAGGAUGCCGGUGCGGAGGGGCCACGUCGCGCCGCAGAACACCUUCCUCGACACCAUCAUCCGCAAGUUUGAGGGCCAGAGCCGCAAGUUCAUCAUCGCUAACGCGCGCGUAGAGAACUGCGCUGUCAUCUACUGCAACGACGGCUUCUGCGAACUGUGUGGCUACUCGCGGGCCGAGGUGAUGCAGCGGCCCUGCACCUGCGAUUUCCUGCAUGGGCCGCGCACGCAGCGCCGUGCCGCCGCGCAGAUCGCGCAGGCCCUGCUGGGCGCAGAGGAGCGCAAAGUGGAGAUCGCCUUCUACCGGAAAGAUGGGAGCUGCUUCCUGUGUCUGGUGGAUGUGGUACCCGUGAAGAAUGAAGAUGGGGCUGUGAUCAUGUUCAUCCUCAACUUUGAAGUAGUGAUGGAGAAGGACAUGGUAGGGUCCCCGGCUCAUGACACCAACCACAGGGGCCCCUCUACCAGCUGGCUAGCUUCUGGCCGGGCCAAGACUUUCCGCCUGAAGCUGCCUGCCUUGUUGGCACUGACGGCCAGGGAAUCAUCUGUGCGGACAGGAAGCAUGCGCAGUGCUGGAGCCCCUGGGGCGGUGGUGGUGGAUGUGGACCUGACGCCGGCAGCACCCAGCAGUGAGUCCCUGGCCUUGGAUGAGGUUUCUGCCAUGGACAACCAUGUGGCAGGGCUUGGGCCUGCAGAAGAGAGGCGAGCACUGGUGGGCCCGGGGUCUGCUUCACCAGUAGCCAGCAUCCGAGGCCCUCACCCAUCGCCACGAGCUCAGAGCCUUAACCCUGAUGCCUCAGGUUCCAGCUGCAGCCUGGCCCGGACACGCUCCCGUGAGAGCUGCGCUAGCGUGCGCCGCGCAUCAUCCGCGGAUGACAUUGAGGCAAUGCGGGCUGGAGCGCUGCCCCCUCCGCCCCGCCAUGCAAGCACAGGGGCCAUGCACCCCCUGCGCAGUGGCCUGCUUAACUCCACCUCAGACUCUGACCUUGUACGCUACCGAACCAUUAGCAAGAUACCCCAAAUCACUCUCAACUUUGUGGACCUCAAAGGCGACCCUUUCCUGGCUUCACCCACCAGUGACCGGGAGAUUAUAGCACCCAAGAUAAAAGAGCGGACCCACAAUGUCACCGAGAAGGUCACCCAGGUCCUGUCCUUGGGAGCAGAUGUGCUGCCUGAGUAUAAGCUGCAGGCCCCAAGAAUCCACCGCUGGACCAUCCUCCACUACAGCCCCUUCAAGGCGGUGUGGGACUGGCUCAUCCUGCUGCUGGUCAUCUACACGGCAGUCUUCACACCGUACUCGGCCGCCUUCCUGCUGAAGGAGACUGAAGAUGGGUCCCAAGCCCCUGACUGUGGCUACGCCUGCCAGCCCCUGGCUGUAGUGGACCUCAUCGUGGACAUCAUGUUCAUUGUGGACAUCCUUAUCAAUUUCCGUACCACCUAUGUUAAUGCCAACGAGGAGGUGGUUAGCCAUCCUGGCCGCAUUGCUGUGCACUACUUCAAGGGCUGGUUUCUCAUUGACAUGGUGGCUGCCAUCCCCUUCGACCUGCUCAUCUUUGGCUCUGGCUCCGAGGAGCUGAUCGGGCUGCUGAAAACUGCGAGGCUGCUGCGGCUGGUGCGCGUGGCUCGGAAGCUGGACCGCUACUCGGAGUACGGGGCAGCAGUGCUCUUCCUGCUCAUGUGCACCUUCGCCCUCAUUGCGCACUGGUUGGCCUGCAUCUGGUACGCGAUCGGCAACAUGGAACAGCCUCACAUGGACUCACACAUCGGCUGGCUGCACAACUUGGGCGACCAGAUCGGCAAGCCCUACAACAGCAGCGGCCUGGGAGGCCCCUCCAUCAAGGACAAGUAUGUCACAGCGCUCUACUUCACCUUCAGCAGCCUCACCAGCGUGGGCUUUGGCAAUGUCUCUCCCAACACCAACUCAGAGAAGAUCUUCUCCAUCUGUGUCAUGCUCAUUGGCUACUGAGUCGUGACCGGACCGCGAGUGUCGUUGACCUGGUGCGGGGCCUGAGCAGAGGGUCCCCGUGGGCGGGCGGGGUCCCUGCGGAUGCUGACGGCCCCACUCACCCACGCCCCCAGCCCUCAUGUAUGCCAGCAUCUUCGGCAACGUGUCCGCCAUCAUCCAGCGGCUGUACUCGGGCACGGCCCGCUACCACACACAGAUGCUCCGGGUGCGGGAGUUUAUCCGCUUUCACCAGAUUCCCAACCCAUUACGCCAGCGCCUCGAGGAGUACUUCCAGCAUGCUUGGUCCUACACCAAUGGCAUCGACAUGAACGCGGUGCUGAAGGGCUUCCCUGAGUGCCUCCAGGCUGACAUCUGCCUACACCUGAACCGCUCGCUGCUGCAGCAUUGCAAGCCAUUCCGAGGGGCCACUAAAGGCUGCCUGAGGGCGCUGGCUAUGAAGUUCAAGACCACACAUGCACCACCAGGGGACACACUAGUGCACGCCGGGGACCUGCUUACUGCCCUCUACUUCAUCUCCAGGGGCUCCAUCGAGAUCCUGCGGGGUGAUGUCGUGGUGGCCAUCUUGGGGAAGAACGACAUCUUUGGAGAGCCUCUGAACCUAUAUGCCCGUCCUGGAAAGUCCAAUGGGGAUGUGCGGGCCCUCACGUACUGUGACCUGCACAAGAUCCAUCGUGAUGACUUGCUGGAGGUGUUGGACAUGUAUCCCGAGUUCUCAGAUCACUUUUGGUCUAGCCUGGAGAUCACCUUCAACCUUCGAGAUACCAACAUGAUUCCUGGCUCCCCAGGCAGUGCAGAACUAGAGAGCGGCUUUAACAGGCAACGCAAGCGCAAACUGUCAUUCCGCAGGCGUACAGACAAGGACACAGAGCAGCCAGGGGAGGUGUCAGCCCUGGGGCAAGGCCCUGCCCGAGUUGGGCCAGGGCCGAGUUGCCGGGGACAGCCGGGAGGGCCAUGGGGGGAGAGCCCAUCCAGCGGCCCUUCCAGCCCAGAGAGCAGUGAAGAUGAGGGCCCUGGUCGCAGCUCCAGUCCCCUCCGCCUGGUGCCCUUCUCCAGCCCCAGGCCUCCGGGAGACCCCCCAGGUGGGGAGCCUUUGACAGAGGAUGGGGAGAAAAGUGACACCUGUAAUCCCUUGUCAGGUGCCUUCUCUGGGGUGUCCAAUAUUUUCAGCUUCUGGGGGGACAGUCGGGGGCGCCAGUACCAGGAGUUGCCUCGAUGCCCUGCCCCUGCCCCCAGCCUCCUCAACAUCCCCUUGUCUAGCCCUGGUCGGCGAUCCCGGGGUGAUGUGGAGAGCAGGCUGGACGCACUCCAGAGACAGCUGAACAGGCUGGAAACCCGGCUAAGUGCAGACAUGGCCACUGUCCUACAGCUGCUACAGAGGCAAAUGACCCUGGUCCCUCCUGCCUACAGUGCUGUGACCACCCCUGGGCCCGGCCCCACUUCCGCAUCCCCUUUGUUGCCUGUCGGCCCUGUCCCCACUCUCACCCUGGACUCGCUUUCUCAGGUUUCCCAGUUCGUGGCGUUUGAGGAGCUUCCUGCAGGAGCCCCAGAGCUCCCCCAAGAUGGCCCCACUCGACGCCUCUCCCUGCCCGGCCAGCUGGGGGCCCUUACCUCCCAGCCCCUGCACAGACAUGGCUCAGAUCCAGGCAGUUAGUGAUGCUGCCCACUGUGGACAUGUGGCUCACCCUGGGUUCAGGGCAUUACCUGACCGCUCUCCUUGGAGACCCUGGUUUGGAGGGGAGACCUGUGCAGAAGCACCUCCAUCCCCACCCUUGGGACCAGCAUCUCCUCCUGCAAUACCCUGGGCCCCACUGGGAGGGGCAGGACAGAGCUGGGCAGUGGAUGGGGGUCUGUGGUCCCCCCACUGCCCUGGGGGCAUUAGCUGGUCUAACUGCCCGGAGGCACCGGCCCUGGGCCUUAGGCACCUCAAGGACUUUUCUGCUAUUUACUGCUCUUAUUGUUAAGGAUAAUAAUUAAGGAUCAUAUGAAUAAUUAAUGAAGAUGCUGAUGACUAUGAAUAAUAAAUAAUUAUCCUGAGGAGA